rnacentral:lncRNA from 1 species
UCCCCCAUCAGCCGUUUAGUACCCUCCCUUCGGAUACACGUACUAUUCACACAAGCACACACACAGUAUCUACUCUCACUUCAGCUUACUUCAAUGUUCUAUUAAGCUGGCUUUAAUUAUUGCGAAGUAUCUGUAAAUUUAUAUUGGAAGAGUAAAAAGAUAUUAAUGCCGUCAAAGAUGAGAAAAUUAACAUUUUUUUGUGAGUUUUCAGCUUUUUUAGUUUUGGAGGUACUUAAUAUUUCAUGCAUUUGUCAUCAAUUUUAUUCACAUGGGCACUGAGUUUGAUACUAGUACUUUAGGCAAUGCAAUAGUUAUAAUUUAAUAGUACUCUCUCUAUCAGAUUAAUUCUGAUGGAAAAGGAUAUUAAAGUUAUUGUUAAAACUAAAAAUUUAGUUUCCUAGAGAAAACAUCACGUCAUUUACAAUUUAAGUAGUCUAAGGAAUUUGAAUUCUUGAACGCGUGAAAGUUAUAAACAAUGAGAUGAUGUUAAACAUUUUGGGACAUUCCAAAACGACAAGAGGGACACAUAAAUUGGGAUAGAAAACGCAGAGGAAUUAUUGAUAGCCUACAAGGGCAAUCUUCUAGAUUUAGGAGAAGAGUAAAAAUGUUCUUUGAGAAUUUACCAGAAUUUUUUUUCUUUUUAAGUAAUAUAUGUUGCCGAUUUUGCUAGGCUUCAAGCUUCCCUGUUAUUGACUCAAGGUUUAAAGACGCCAUACUAUUUGCAAAAAUGUCAUGCUAGUGUGAUUACAGUCAAAUUGUUUUGAGUUCUCUUCUUUUGGCGCUGCUACUAUUCUGUCCAUCUAUUUUUCGGGCAAUUCUUCGGCCAGAUCUAUCUCCAUCGAAAUCUAUUAGUAAGUUCACUUAUGGUCUGUUUCGCUUUCUUCUCUAGGAUUCCUAUUCUCUGAUUAAACAAUAACAACAAUAACAACCCAGUAAAAUCCCACUAGUGGGGUCUGGGGAGGGUAGAGUGUAUGUAGACCUUACCCCUAACCCAAGGGGUAGGGAGGCUGUUUCCGGGACACCCUCGGCUCAACAGAGGAGACAAUAAUAUCAGAAAAGAAGAAAAGAAUAAAUCCGUAACAACAAAAGAGACCAGAAAAAUAAUAAUCAGCAUCGAAAGAGACAACAAAUAAGUGGAAGGGUAAUAACCCAAUGCUAUGCAAAAUGAGAAUCCUAUUCUCUGAUUCUAGUGAGAAAAAAAAUCCUAGCCCCCUUUUACAAUUAUUUUUAGUGAUGUAGUACGGCUUAUGAGCUGCAGUGUGUGCUUCUCUGAGUUUUUAUUUUCACAAUUUAUUUGCAUUGUCAUUUGUAUUCUAUGUGAUAUUGGCUCAUGAAUUAUGAUGUUCUAUAUAUCUGCUUUUAAUUAUUGCAAAGUCUCUGUAUACUUAUAAUGGAAUGAGGAAAAGAGAUGAAUGUCGUCAAAGAUGAAAUUGCAUGCUGUCGUCAUCAAUUCUAUCCACACUGGCCACUUGAGUCUUGAAGUUUGUAUGUUAGCAGAUGUGAAAAAUACUAUCUUAAUAAUAAAUACCCCUCCGUCAUAUAUUUUUGAUGGAAAAAUAUUAAAUUCAUGGUUAAAAAGUUAGUUUAAUUGGGGAAAACAUAUUAUCAAACUUAAAUUUGUGUAGUUUAAGGAAUAUGAGUUCUUGAUAGUGUGAGAGUUAUAUAAAAAUGAGAUGAUGUUAAACAUUCUCGGCCUUUCCAAAAUGAAAAGAGGGACACAUAAAUUUAGAUAGAGGGAGUAAACUUUUGUGUUAUCAUUGAACUUUAAUGGCAAAAUGUUACUUCAUUUUGGAUUGAUUUAUAGAUCAGUUUCCCUUGGCAUUUAUAUCUUUUCAAAUUUGUAGGUCUCAAACACAACACAAUAGGUUAUUCUAUUCGUUAAUUUAUUUGAGGGGUAAUAUUUAUUCACCUUUUUUUUCCAGGGAAGUUAAGCUUGGAGAAAGCAUGGGUAGCUUCUUUGUUCCACCUCCACCUAUCUUUGACUUUGAAUAGCUUUUUUCAAAGUUUUUCUCUUAAAACUCUCUGUAAGUCUUUCUGGCCGCUGCCUGUGAACAGAUUGAGAAGGACUCAUGACCGCGAUCCAACUAUGUGAAUCGGUUGUCGAUUUCUUCAAGUCCAUUGGAUUCACAGAUGCACAAAUCCAAUCCGCUGUUCGUAAUGUCCCGCAAAUCCUCCUGGCCGAUGUUGAAAAGACACUCAAGCCAAAGAUCCAACUAUUACAAGAAUUGGGUAUCACUGGUUCUGAUCUGGGUAGGCUACUUUCCACAAAGGCAAUUAUAUUAACACGUAGUGUGGAAAAAAUACUAAAGCCUUGCAUUGAAGUUCUCGAUAAAGUCCUUAUCAACGGUACUGAUAAUGGUGAUUGGUUCCGGGUUCUGCGAAGGUGCGAUUGGGUUGUUACACAAAUCCCCUCACUUGAGACUGAUUCCUAAUAUUUCAUAUCUGGAGAGCAUUGGGAUUGUUGGGUCUCAACUAUCAUCACUCUUGAAGAGGCAACCUCAUCUUUUUGCUUUGCCUGAAUCUGAGCUUAAAAAGCUUGUCUCUAAACUUAUAGAUAUCGGAUUUUCUACUGAUUCAAGAAUGUUGGUGCACGGCCUUCAUUCGUUAGGUUGUAUUAGUCAUGAGUCUUUUUCAAGGAAAUUGCUUUUGCUUCAGAGUUCUGGUUUCUCCAUAAAUGAGUGCAUGGAGGUGUUUAGGAGGGCGCCAAGUUUAUUCCGAAGUUCAGAGGAGAAAAUAAGACUCGGACUAGAAUUUUUCUUGGAAACAAUGGAGUUAAAGAAGUCAACUUUAGUACAGCAUCCUACACUUUUGAUGUUUAGCAUGGAGGAUAGAGUGAUUCCCAGAUAUCAAGUUAUUCAGCUGAUAAAGUCAAGAAAACUUGUGAAGAAAGAGCCAAGUUUUUAUUAUGUGAUGUGUUUGUCGGGGCAUGUGUUCUUUGAAAAGUAUAUAUCGAGAUUUACUGAAAAUGCAGAGGAAUUAUUGAUGGCUUACAAGGGCCAUCUUCUAGAUUUAGGAGAGGAUUAAGAAUGUUAUGUUGAAAAUUUUGCCGGCAUUUUCUUUUCUUUUUUGAUCUGUAAAUUUUGCUACUAGGAGUUGCCUACUAUUGACAAAAAUAUCAUGCUAGUGUGAUGACUAUAAAGGGCAGUCUGAUGCACUAAGCUCCCACUAUGCGCGGGGUCCGGGUAAAAACCGGAUUACAAAGGUCUAUCGCACACAGUCUUACCCUUCAUUUCUGUUAGUGUGAUAACAAUCUGGAAUAAAAAUGGUUGUGACAGAUCUCAUUAUGGUUAUAGCCUUCGAAAGUGCAUAGUGAAGGUGCAGUCUGAACAUGGAAAAUACUGGAUCACCUACCUAAUGUCACCUUAAAUUUUAUUUUGUUGAGUUCACAAUUCUAUUUCUAUUUGUUACUUUGACGAAAAAUGAUGCCUUCUGUGUGAUAUGGGAGGAGGCCUUGAACCAAAUGGGUACUCACUGUUAUACUCCCUUAAUUUCAAAAAUAAUAGGCGCUAUUUCCUUAUUAGUCCGUUUCGAGAAGAUUGACACAUUCCUAUAUUUCUUUAAUGGGAAGCAUUUAUGGUCACACAAAUGUUAUGACUUGGUUAAGAUCACAAGUUUUAAAAACUUUAAAGCCACACAAAUGUUAUAACAUAUUUAAGGCCACAAGUAUCAAAAAAUUUCUUCUCUUUAUUAAAUUUUGUGUCAAGUUAAACUAGAACAAACAAAUUGAAAUGGGGGGAGUAACAAUUAGAAUAUCUUUUUUUUUUUUGGGUCUAAUUCUUGGUGUGCAGAGUUAUCCUGUACGUAUUUUAGUAUAAAUGACACCAGGUAGCCACUCUAAAGAGCUGCUAUUUAGAAAUUAGCUAGUGCGUCUUGAAUUUUAUUUUUUCAGUUUAAUUUUUCAAAAUAAAAAUGUCCUGAAUUGUCCUGAAGUUAAGCUUUUUAGUUUAAAAUUUUAUGACAAAAAUAAGUACCGAAUAAUCUCUAGAUUGCAUACCUGAGAAUGACUAUAGAAUAACAGGAACUAAUAGAAUAAUUAGAGUGUGUGAAAGCUAGACCCGCCGCCAUCAUAAAAAACAAUAUCAUGCUAAGGAAAAAGACACUAACUAAAAAGGAAGGAGUAAAGGCUAAAGAUAUCAUGUCAAGUAAAGCCGUUUAGAUAUCUAUUACAAGGACAGUGUUUUGGCUGUCUCUCUUUUUUGGACUAUAACAGCUGCUGAAACUGACGGCCCAGAAAGGAAGAGAAAAUGAAGAAUCUCUUGGAAGGGUAUGAUAAAAAGAACAAAGAAAAGUUGGAUAAGUUUCAAAUUACAUAGCAAAAAGUUGGCCUUUUGCAAUGAUGAAUGUGGACAAGAGUGUUAUUUGGAGUGUUUGAAGCUUUUUGGAAUCAGAAAAUAAGCAAAAUUACUGACUUUAAGGUGCAUUAUAUCAGGAAAAAGAAGAAGUCUUGGGAAUGUAUGAACCAUUACUUCAUCUAUAUCUCAAACUAGAGAAAACAUAAGAUGAUGGAUGAAGCUUAUCAUGCUGGAAAUUAUUUUUCCUUCUAACUACUUAGGAUUUGUCUUUCUUUUAAUUAAUGUGAUGCUUAUGUUUUCCUGAGCCGAGGAUUUAUUGGAAACAACCUCUCUACUUUCACAAGGUAGGGGUAAGGUCUGCGUACACACUACCCUCCCCAGACCCCACAAUGUGGGAUAAUAUUGGGUAUGUUGUUGUUGUUGUUGUUGUUGUUCUAAUUAGUUAUGAUUAAAAUGUGGUUGUCUCAAUCAUAUUUGAUAUUAAGUUCACAUAGGGAUAUAAUUUUGAGAUUUAAAAAACUUCUAGUUUUAAAGAAAUUCUAAUUGCCUUAUAGAACAAAAUAUAUUUGAUGUUUAAUUUUUUUUAUUUCUUUCCGUUCUUGCAAGAUUUACACCCUUGGCACAACACUAAAAGUUGCCUCUGUAUGACUUGGACGUCAUGUGUUCAAGCCGCGGAAAUAGACUCCUGUAGAAAGAAAGGUAAGACUGCGUAGAUAAGACUCAAUGUGGUUCGACUUUUUCUUGGACCCUACAUAUAGUGGGAGCUUAAUCUUCGGAAUUUGAUAAUGUAAAUGCCCCUAAACAAAAACUCCUGGCUCUUUAAAAAUAGGAUGAGGACUACUUGUCUUUCCCUAAUUUUUGCACUUUCUUUUCUUUAAAAAUGAGUUAGCUAGUGAAGUUCACAACUUGACUUACAAUGGCUGCACUCAAUUUCUUCAUAAUCUUCACAUCACUAGUCUUACCAAUUGCAUCUGAUCCUCUGUUGUCAACUUAUGUUGUCCAUGUUGACACCAAAGCCAAGCCAUCUCAUUACUUAACUCAAGAUGAAUGGUAUAAUUCAGUGGUUGAGUCAGUUCUUGCAAACAAAAUGGACUCAGAUUCUACUUCUCCAAGAUUGUUCUACUCAUAUGAUGUAGUGUUACAAGGUUUUGCAGCAAGAUUGACUGAUCAAGAAUCUGAAAAACUAAAUAAAUUUCCAGAAGUCAUUCACAUUUUCAAAGAUCAGUCUAGAAUCAAGCUUGACACAACACGUUCGCCGAAUUUUCUUGGCCUAAACACAGGUUAUGGUCUGUGGCCACAAUCUAACUUUGGAGAUGAUGUUAUAAUUGGCCUUGUUGAUACAGGGAUUUGGCCUGAGAGUGAGAGUUUCAAGGACAAUGGUAUUGGUCCUAUUCCAACAAGGUGGAAAGGUAAAUGUGUUGAUGGAAUUGAAUUCAACGCGACGAGUAGUUGUAACAGAAAACUUAUUGGUGCUAGGAAUUUCGUUAAGGGUGUUGAGAAUGACUAUCAUCAUCAAUCGGCACGAGAUCAAAAUGGACAUGGAACACAUACUGCUUCAACUGCAGCAGGUACAGAGGUAAAUGGUGCCAAUGUAUUUGGUUUUGCUAAAGGGAAAGCACGAGGGAUUGCGAGUAAAGCUAGGAUUGCAAUGUACAAAGCUUGUGGGAGUAGUUCUUGUGCAGAAUCUGAUAUUUUAGCAGCUAUUGAAAGUGCUAUAAAAGAUGGCGUAGACAUACUUUCGCUCUCUUUAGGAUACGAUGAUGCUCCGUUUUAUGAAAAUCCAGUGGCAAUUGCAACAUUUGCUGCUGUUAAAAGGAACAUAUUUGUUGCUUCUUCAGCUGGAAAUCUUGGACCUUAUCCAUUUUCAGUUCACAAUACAGCACCUUGGGUUACAACAGUUGGAGCUGGAUCACUUGAUCGCGAUUUCCCCGUUGAAAUCAACUUAUCAAACAACAAGACUUUUGUUGGUUCUUCUCUUUAUCCAGGGAGAAUCAGUGGUAAAAGUUACUCUCUUGUUUAUAUUGAAAAUUGUUCUAUAAUGACAAUCGAUCGUUCUAAAGUUGAACGAAAGAUUGUAGUUUGCAACACUAGUAAAAUCGAAGCUCUUAGAAAUGGGAUUUUAAUUCAGAAAGCAGGUGGUUUUGGACUGAUUCAAUUAAAUCUUCCAACUGAAGGAGAAGGGAUUAGAGCAAUGGCUUACACAUUGCCUUCUGCAACAUUGGGUUAUAAAGAAGGUAUAGAGCUUCUUUCUUAUAUCAAAUCCAAUGCUAAUCCAAGAGCAGGGUUCGUACGUCGAAAGGAUACAGUAAUUGGGAAAAAAGUUAGAGCUCCAAUUGUUGCUAGCUUUUCUUCAAGAGGGCCUAAUGUUGUUGUUCCUGAAGUCCUCAAACCUGACCUCAUUGCUCCGGGUUUGAACAUUCUUGCUGCAUGGCCAGGUAACCAGAGACGGAUCCAGGAUUUAUACCUUAUGCAUUCAACCUUUAUUCUUUACCAUUGACCCCACGACACUUUUAAACUUAUGAGGUAGGAAUUUUAUACUUUUUGAAAUUGUUGUGAUUUUUCAUAUUGCGUGGAAGCAACCACUAAUGCUUAUGGUAGGAUAGGCUGUCUACAUCACACUCCUUAAGUGCGGCCCUUCGCCCGACCCUGCGUGAGCAAGGGAUACUUUAUGCACUAGUCUACCGCUUUUCUUUAUUUAGUGAUUCUUCACAUUGUGUGUGUCUAUGCAGGUGACAUUUCCCCAACACGUCUCAAGAUGGAUCCAAGGAGAGUGAAGUUCAAUAUAAACUCGGGAACAUCAAUGGCGUGCCCUCACAUAGCCGGAGUAGCUGCAUUAGUCCGCGCUGUUCAUCCAGAUUGGUCCCCGGCUGCUAUAAAAUCCGCACUCAUGACUACAUCCACAGCAUUCGACAAUGCACAACUCCCUAUCAUAAAACACGAAGACAUGGAGCUAGCAACUCCGAUCAGCAUUGGAGCCGGGCACGUGAACCCUGAAUCGGCUAUUGAUCCGGGCCUAAUAUACGACACUGAUACAUCAGACUACAUCAACCUACUAUGCAGCUUGAAUUACACAGAGAAACAAAUGAAACUUUUCACGAACGAGUCAAAUCCUUGCUCGGGUUUCACUGGAUCUCCACUUGAUCUUAACUAUCCAUCACUUUCUGUUAUGUUCAGGCCUGAUUCCUAUGUUCAUGUAGUUAAGAAGACACUGACACAUGUCGCGGUAUCUAAGCCCGAGGUGUACAAAGUAAAGAUAGUGAAUCUGAAUUCUGAAAAGGUGAGUUUAAGUAUAGAGCCAAGGAAGCUGAUUUUCAAUGAAUCUUUACAGAAACAAAGCUAUGUGGUCAAAUUUGAGAGCCAUUAUGCAUUCAACAGCAGCAGGAAAAUAGCUGAGCAAAUGGCGUUUGGUUCGAUAUUGUGGGAGAGUGAAAAGCACAAUGUUAGGAGCCCCUUCGCUGUUAUGUGGGUUCAGCAAAAUUUCAAUAACAGUAGAUUAUACAAAUAACUUAAUAUGUACAUUGUUGUAUGUGUUAUAUCAUCGUACCUCUAGCCUCCGAAUAUGUACUAUGUUGUAUCAUCGUACCUCUAGCCUCCGAGUAUGUAUUAUGUUGUAUGUGUUGUAUUAUCGUACCUCUAACCUCUGAGUAUGUACUAUGUAGCAUCAUCGUACCUCUAGCCUCCGAGUAUGUACUAUGAUAUUUCAUCGUACCUCUAGCAUCCGAGUAUGUACUAUGUUGUAUUAUGGUACGUCUAGCCUCCCUUGUGAUUUGGUAGUUGUUACAAAGACGAUAUCUUUAUGUCUACUAAAGUAUGUCCAGGUGCUAAUCCACGAAAAAACAAGGGGACUAUUUUGGCUAAAUAAAGAUAAUGGAACUGAAUCCAACUGUAAUUUACACAGGUUUUGCUUAUAAGAAAGGGUUAUUCACAGAGCUGUUCAGCCUUGUAUAUCAGGAGCAAUCCAAUUUUAAAAAUGAGUACAAAAAAGUACAAGGGAGUACCACAAGUCUGGUUUAUGGAUUCUGCCAAUUAUAAUAAGAAAAGUAUAGCUCGCAUAUNNNNNNNNNNNNNNNNNNNNNNNNNUCGUAUAUAUAUAUAUGUUUUGCGAAUUUUCUGCUUUCCAAUAUCUACAGAGGAUAAUCUGGUAGAUUUAUUGUGUGUUUUACUGUUGGAUGAGGGAUUUAUAAGCUCCUAUCAAUGAAAACGUUUUAUUGACGGACACAAAUCGAUGUUUUACUUGUCUGCCGUCCUUCCUACUGGUCAAUGUCACACCCCUUUUUACCCCUCCAAAAGAUAUGUAAUGUUAUGGAUUGUGGGUCUUUUCCAAUUAAAGUGACAAAUUCGAGUAAGGAUUGUUUUAUUUACAGAGUCGUCACUUGGAAUUUAAUUUUUUGGGUGUUCCAAGUCACCUUUUAUUUGAAAUCCCUAUUCAAAAGAAAUUUGACCAUAUUAUUAUUGGUCUGCGAAAACAAAGUCCAUGUAAAAAAUUCUGUUGACCGGAGAGAAGGUGUAAGGCAUUCUCCGAGUCUCGUGGUUCUAGCACGGUCGCUUUAUUGACUAUAUUUGGCUAAUAUUAUUUUGAAUAAAUUGUGUUUUAUUUGGUUCUCAUAUUUUUACCUAUGCCCACUUUCAUCGCUUGAUUAUUAUUGAAAGACAAAAUUACAUUGUAAAUAACGUUAUAAUUUUAUUAUGACUUUGCAGUUAAGGUCAAGUUACAUAAGAGUGCACUCGAAUUUGGAAAUAUGUACCAUAAUUAUGCCACAGGAACUGUACUCAUAGUCACGAUAAUUUAUUAUUGGCCGCAUUUAAAGUAUACCACAAUAUUCAAAGUAAUUUAAUUAUUUGCUAAGUUUGGAAUUAUUAUGAGGCUCUAAGGUUACAUGGUAGAAUUAUGAAAAAGGUAAGAUUGAUUAUUAAAGAUUACUGGAGAUGUCAAUUAUGCCGGGUAUAGUAAGAUGAUGCGACUAGCAAAUAAAUUCUACUUAUUCAUUUUUUUAUCUAGAUUUAAUUCUUGACGAAGAAAAUUAAUGGAAUGAAAUAAAAAUUCAUGCUAAACUCCAACGUGAUCUCUACCAAAUUAAGCAGUAGCUUAUUUGACUUUUCCAAUUCAUGAUUAAUACUCACACCUAACAUAAAGCCAUAAGGACCUCACUUGACAAGAAUAACUAUUAAACAACAUAUGCACUUAGUAAAAGAUUGAUUCAAAACACGAUAGAAUUUGUCAUUGAUGAAACAAAGAGCAAUAAACCAACUCAAACAUUCAUAUUGAUUCAAUAGUUAAAUAACACACCACAUAAUCACAACGAUAAUUCAAAACAUGAAACUUUAGUAGAAAUACUGAUAAGAGCAUGGAAACGAACCUGGAAUAUGCAACUGUUUUCAAAUAUAUUGAUAAGAAAAGAUCUCUGAUUGGUACAUAACCUCGUUCAAAGUGAAGAGAUCCAGAAACAAAAAUGAGACCUUUAUCGUCAACUCCUAACUGACCGCACGCCGGAACCUCGAACCAAGAUCUCGUCGGAGACUUUUCCCGAACUGUUUUCACUCAAUUUUUAGCGACCAAGAGUGACUUUUUUCUGUUGGUUUUGUGAUGUUUGCGAGCUGGUUUUUGGAGGGAGAAUCGAUGUCCCUUUUUUUUAGUUUUGGAGCUGAAAGAUUGGCAUUAAUGGAGGCAGGUUUUGCAACUAUUUUGCUGCAUUUUUGGGACAACUUUUGCUGUAAUUUCGGGCUGCUUCUUUGUUUGUAGGUGAAGGUCUAAAGUGGAUCUUGUAUUUUUUUUAGAAGAAGAUCGACGUGGGGAGGAUGUCUUUUCUACGUGUGCUCGUUUAUGUCUGAAUGAAGAAGGUGAGGUUUAAGCCCUUUUUUCUUUUGAAUGUGAAGGAGAGGCCAGAGUCAAAAAAGUGUGUGCUGUGCGUUAUCUUUUGUGAGUCAAAAAGUGUGUGACGUGCAUGGUCUUUUUGUGCCCAUUCAAAAAAUCACAAUAAUAUGGUGCCUUUUAGUCAAAAACGUGAUGGGAGGGAGUAAAUCCAAAAGUUGUUAAAGUCCAAAUGGUCCCACUAAAUUGAAAAACAUAUCCCAUAAUUUGUUCUGGAAAAGAUUCUCUUCUAUAAAAUGGUAUAAAUGAAUUGAAGAGACUAUUUUAUUUUAUUUUUUGGAAAUUUUAAAGAAUAAGAGACAAAAUAGAGUAGUAGACCACGUGAGAGAGUGUAGGAUUU